GACGAACGCUGGCGGCGUGCUUAACACAUGCAAGUCGAACAGAAAGGCCCUGCUUUUGUGGGGUGCUCGAGUGGCGAACGGGUGAGUAACACGUGAGUAACCUGCCCUUGACUUUGGGAUAACUUCAGGAAACUGGGGCUAAUACCGGAUAGGAGCUCCUGCUGCAUGGUGGGGGUUGGAAAGUUUCGGCGGUUGGGGAUGGACUCGCGGCUUAUCAGCUUGUUGGUGGGGUAGUGGCUUACCAAGGCUUUGACGGGUAGCCGGCCUGAGAGGGUGACCGGCCACAUUGGGACUGAGAUACGGCCCAGACUCCUACGGGAGGCAGCAGUGGGGAAUAUUGCACAAUGGGCGGAAGCCUGAUGCAGCAACGCCGCGUGCGGGAUGACGGCCUUCGGGUUGUAAACCGCUUUCGCCUGUGACGAAGCGUGAGCGUCGGUAAUGGGUAAAGAAGCACCGGCUAACUACGUG
rnacentral:rRNA from 1 species